ensembl:lncRNA
GUACAACCAAACAUUUUACAGGAGAGGAAACCAAAACAGCCAAAAACAUGCAAAGAAGUUUGUAUCUGGUUUCAGAAAAAUGCAAUUAAAAAUUAAAACAAAAGGAUUUAGGAGUUGAUGAAGAUUUGGGAGAAGGAGAGAAGGCAAUCUACAGUCUUCUUGCCUGGAGUGUUCCUGAGGAGCCUGGAUAGCUACAGCCUAUGGGAUCGCAAAGAAUAGGACACCACGGAGUGACUAACACAUACAGUCCCUCUCCACAAACCUGACGCCUGAUGCACUUGUCUGCAGUUCUGAUACCGUCUUUAUCUCGGCAUCUGCCUAUCUAUGUCUCUCUAAACAUCAACUCUCCGCUUCAGCUCAGAGACCUUUCUGCCUUGCCUUUCUGCCGGAUUCCCCAGCAUGUGGUCCAGAGCCCAUCGCAGAGCAGGCCCCAGAGGUUGCAAACAAAUUUUCACUGGGUGAAGACAAUUACAUUUACAGGCUCUCCAGAAGUCCUUGGCUUGGCCGGAUGGCAGCUCUGCUCCCCGGGGCAGGAGAAGGUUUGGAGUGCUGGCAGAAGCUUCUCGAAUCCUCCCGUUGCUCCUGCUGUGGCCUUGGCUCAGGCUGGGGGCUCCAGUGCCUCUCCCAGUGGGUGCCGGAGGCUGGAGCCGCCUUUGUCUGCCGCAGGAGGCCAGCCAGGCGGCUGCGGCUGCAACCGGCCCCUGCCCAGGCCUGGGAGAUGGUUUUUUUUUCCCUGUGUGUUGCAGCUGGGACCAUUUAUAAUAGAAAAAAAGAGAGAGAGAGAAUGACCAGGCCAGCCGGCUGGAAAAUAAAGAGAC